UAUAUUAAUCUCUUGUUAUGAUAUUGUUUUCGUGUUUAAGUUCCGCAUUGGCGGUCUGACUGUUUUACUCCAGGAAUAUUUUUGAAAACUUCUUUUAGUUUAAACAAUAUUUUAUUUCAAAAAGUGCACAAAAUAUAAUUAUACAAUAUGAAAUACAGGGAUUCGGAAACAAGAAAAACUUAUAUAAAUCCGUCUCACUUCUAUUCAGUGGUAUUGACAUUUUUCAAUUACAAGCCAUAACAAUAUUCAAUAAGCUGAAUUAUAGGCUUAUAACAUCUGUUUGUUCACUGCUUUUCGUUUUUAAUUAUUGACCGAUCAUUGUUGAAAAAAAUCAUACAAUAUGUACAACAUUCUACUUGGUCAAUUUGAAAUGACACUUUAAAUUGUUGACUUUUUAUAAUAUAUUAAAUAUGGAAAAACUCAUUUAGAGGGGAUUUUUUUUUUGGAAGUGGUUUACAGACCCAGUUUGUUAUCUGGUUAUUAGAAUAAUUAGAAGAAAAUCAGUUAUUAAGUUUGAGUGAUUUAACCUUAUACCAGUUAUCAUAACUUUAUAUAUUACAGAACAAAACAUAGAAAAAAAAACAGAAAAAAAACUAAACGUGAAAAUAAUUUAUCAAACAUAAAUAACAAAUGAAACGAAAUGCAUAAUGUCUAGUUUAUAUAUCGGUAAACAUUAUUUUGUUAUCAAGUUAUUAAUAAAUCAUAUUUUUUACACAGUCACCAAUUAGUCAUGAUCUCUAGGUUGCUGAUUUGCACUGUCUGAUUGAUUGUCAGGCUGAUCGUCAGAAGCAGCCGGCCUUUUAGUAGCGGCCUGAGAUUGCCGACGUCAUGCCAAUUCUGUAUAAUUAUCUUUCUGCUGUUUUCGGAUAUUUUUACGAAUAUUUGAACUUAUACUUAUUUAACAAUCACAUAUGUUGCUAAAAGUAGACUAUAAAACGAUCAGAUUAUAACUCAAUGCAGAAAAUUGAUAUAUGAAAAAAAGAUAAGGAUAUUCGCCAAUAAGGCUAUUAACAAAACCAACAACACAUCUAGCGAUUUGUAUAAAAUAAAUCAAUAAAUACAUGUAUGCAUUGAUGACAUCUAAUGAACACUGCAACAUACCAAAUGAAUCAUAGAUAUACUAGUAUGAGGGUCACUAGUGGGGGUAACAGAAUAAAGAAAGAUGGGCAAAAAUUAUAGAAAAUAGAAAAAAUGACCAACAAAAUGAAAUCUCUGAAGCUUCAGGGCUCGUAUGCAUGAAGCAUUUUACAAUGUAACUCAUAAUAAGUGUUCCUUAAACCUAUAUUUCAGUUAGAAUUCCCUUAGCUGUAAGUGUCUUCGUCAGUGUAAAAGUUUGUUAUGAUUAUUUACAUUGAUUGUUCUAUACAUACUUUUAUUUGAAAGAAGCUCAUGUAGCUGGGGUUAGAUUGACAUUGGUAUGUAAAACAAUUCAAUAGUACGUAACAUAAUACAAUCUUGAAACAGAUAAAAAAUUGGCGCAUAAUAGAAAAGGUUACCGUUUCAAUGGAUGCAUGAGCAUGGGAAGAAAGAAAAUAUUUGUUAUCCAAAAUUUUCCCAUACUUCUUCUAAUUCAUCUUUCAUGCAUAUGGAUGUAAUGUUUUCU
rnacentral:lncRNA from 1 species